rnacentral:rRNA from 1 species
AUUGAACGCUGGCGGAAUGCUUUACACAUGCAAGUCGAGCGGCAGCGCGGGGCAACCUGGCGGCGAGCGGCGAACGGGUGAGUAAUGCAUCGGAACAUGUCCAUGUCGUGGGGGAUAGCCCGGCGAAAGCCGGAUUAAUACCGCAUACGCUCGAGAGAGGAAAGCCGGGGACCGCAAGGCCUGGCGCGAUUGGGUUGGCCGAUGUCCGAUUAGCUUGUUGGUGAGGUAAAGGCUUACCAAGGCGAUGAUCGGUAGCUGGUCUGAGAGGAUGAUCAGCCACACUGGGACUGAGACACGGCCCAGACUCCUACGGGAGGCAGCAGUGGGGAAUUUUGGACAAUGGGGGCAACCCUGAUCCAGCCAUUCCGCGUGAGUGAAGAAGGCCUUCGGGUUGUAAAGCUCUUUUGUCCGGAGCGAAACGGGUAGCCCUAAUACGGCUGCCUACUGACGGUACCGGAAGAAUAAGCACCGGCUAACUACGUGCCAGCAGCCGCGGUAAUACGUAGGGUGCGAGCGUUAAUCGGAAUUACUGGGCGUAAAGCGUGCGCAGGCGGUUUUGUAAGCCAGAUGUGAAAUCCCCGGGCUCAACCUGGGAAUGGCAUUUGGGACUGCAAGGCUGGAGUGUGGCAGAGG